UCCGAUAUGGUGUAGUGGCCAACAUGAUGCCCUCUCAUCUAUGGCAAGUCGUUUGAGAGGAUAGGCAUAGCCCCGAGUUCGAUUCUCGGUUUCGGAA
rnacentral:tRNA from 1 species